rnacentral:rRNA from 1 species
GACGAACGCUGGCGGCGUGCUUAACACAUGCAAGUCGAACGGAAAGGCCCUGCUUUUGUGGGGUGCUCGAGUGGCGAACGGGUGAGUAACACGUGAGUAACCUGCCCUUGACUUUGGGAUAACUUCAGGAAACUGGGGCUAAUACCGGAUAGGAGCUCCUGCUGCAUGGUGGGGGUUGGAAAGUUUCGGCGGUUGGGGAUGGACUCGCGGCUUAUCAGCUUGUUGGUGGGGUAGUGGCUUACCAAGGCUUUGACGGGUAGCCGGCCUGAGAGGGUGACCGGCCACAUUGGGACUGAGAUACGGCCCAGACUCCUACGGGAGGCAGCAGUGGGGAAUAUUGCACAAUGGGCGGAGGCCUGAUGCAGCAACGCCGCGUGCGGGAUGACGGCCUUCGGGUUGUAAACCGCUUUGGCCUGUGACGAAGCGUGAGUGACGGUAAUGGGUAAAGAAGCACCGGCUAACUACGUG